AUGUCGCACCUACCAGCCGACAAUAUAACAAAUCAGCAUUACAGUUCUAUGUUGGGCAAGAGCUCUAAUGUCCAUCAAGUUACUGACAUACGAGAAACAACGUCAGAUGUGGAAGAACUUAUCAUUGGGAGGACUGAAGAAAUGAAAGAAAUAGUGGCUACUUUAUGUGAGAGCAUCACACCAGGCAUCACCAUCCUUCCAAUAUAUGGAUUUGGUGGUAUUGGCAAGACAAACUUGGCUCGGCUAGUGUACAAUGAUUCUAUGUUCGCAGGCUACUCUCUGGUAUGGGUCUAUGUGUCCCAAAAUCUCGACCUAAAGAAAAUUGGCAACUCUAUUAUAUCACAGCUAUCAGAGGAGAGCCACUUAGCUGAAAAACAGUUGAUACAUAAUAAACUCAGAAAGGUACUUGCUGAUAAGAAAAUUCUUAUUGUCUUAGAUGAUGUGUGGGAGGAGAAUCCAGAUACACUAAAAUCUUUGAAGGCUAUGCUAAGGGGUGAGGGCAGCAACGUAAGGAUUAUCGUAACCACAAGAGAUGAAGCCAUUGCAAGAGAAAUUUGUCAUACAGUUGGGCCAUAUAAGCUAGAGACUUUAACAGAUAAAAUUUGUUGGAAAAUAAUAAAACAAAAGGCUGCCUUCAAAAAUCGAGUCGACAAGAAGCAAUUGAAGCAUAUAGGAAGGGAGAUUGCCACCAAGUGUGGAGGUCAUUGUAUAUUGAAGUAUGAUCUAAUUCAUCAAUGGAUUGCUCUUGGAUUCACUGAGCAAUCUUAUAUGUUUGAUCCUAUGCAGCUCUGCGAGAAUUAUGCAAGGCAACUUUUGGGGAUGUCCUUCCUUCAGUAUUCAGAGACAUCUUCGGUGAGUUAA
rnacentral:rRNA from 1 species